rnacentral:rRNA from 1 species
UAGCUUGAUCCUGGCUCAGGACGAACGCUGGCGGCGUGCUUAACACAUGCAAGUCGAACGGUGAAGCAUCCUUCGGGGUGUGGAUCAGUGGCGAACGGGUGAGUAACACGUGGGCCACCUGCCCCUGACUUCGGAAUAACCUCGGGAAACCGAGGCUAAUACCGGAUACGACCUCGAGCGGCAUCGCUCGAGGUGGAAAGUUUUUCGGUCAGGGAUGGGCCCGCGGCCUAUCAGCUUGUUGGUGGGGUAAUGGCCUACCAAGGCGACUACGGGUAGCCGGCCUGAGAGGGCGACCGGCCACACUGGGACUGAGAUACGGCCCACACUCCUACGGGAGGCAGCAGUGGGGAAUAUUGCGCAAUGGGCGAAAGCCUGACGCAGCGACGCCGCGUGAGGGAUGACGGCCUUCGGGUUGUAAACCUCUUUCGACAGGGAUGAAGCCUUCGGGUGACAGUACCUGUAGAAGAAGCACCGGCUAACUACGUGCCAGCAGCCGCGGUAAUACGUAGGGUGCGAGCGUUGUCCGGAUUUAUUGGGCGUAAAGAGCUCGUAGGUGGUCCGUCACGUCGGAUGUGAAAACCCAGGGCUCAACCCUGGGCGUGCAUUCGAUACGGGCGGACUAGAGUUCGGUAGGAGAGACUGGAAUUCCUGGUGUAGCG